UACGGAGGGGGCGAGCGUUAUUCGGAAUUAUUGGGCGUAAAGCGCACGUAGGCGGAUUUGUCAGUCAGGGGUGAAAUCCCGGGGCUCAACCUCGGAACUGCCUUUGAUACAGCAAGUCUUGAGUUCGAGAGAGGUGGGUGGAAUUCCUAGUGUAGAGGUGAAAUUCGUAGAUAUUAGGAAGAACACCGGUGGCGAAGGCGGCCCACUGGCUCGAUACUGACGCUGAGGUGCGAAAGCGUGGGGAGCAAACAGG
rnacentral:rRNA from 1 species